ensembl:lncRNA
GAGGAACGUUUUAUUUAUUAUUUAUUUAUUAGUGGCCAUCCAUCCUUUUCGGAGGACAAAAAUAAACAUUGUCGUCACAUGUACUGUACAUUCUACACAUGUUACAUAAAUGGCUUUUUAUUUUAUUUUUUACAGUAGUUACAUAGCAAGAAUACAGUAAUUGAAUAUUUGGAUAUACAUUGCAUCUACUGUAGAUACAGUGGCUUGCAAAAGUAUUCACCCCUCUUGGCAUUUUUCCUAUUUUGUUGCCUUACAACCUGGAAUUAAAAUGGAUUUUUGGGGGGUUUGUAUCAUUUGAUUUACACAACAUGCUUACCACUUUGAAGAUGCAAAAUAAUUUUGGGGGUGAAACAAGAAGGCAAAAAAAAAUGAAAACUUGAGCGUGCUUGAGUGUUGUUUUAGCAGUGUGCUUAGAGUCAUUGUCCUGCUGGAAGGUGAACCUCCGACCUCGCUUGGUUCAUGAGUUUUGGUGGGCGGCCCUCUCUUGGCAGGUUUGUUGUGGUGCCAUAUUCUUUCCAUUUUUUAAUAAUGGAUUUAAAUGGUGCUCCAUGGGAUGUUCAAAGUUUCGGAUAUUAUUUUAUAACCAACCCCUGAUCUGUACAUCUCCACAACUUUGUCCCUAACCUGUUUGGAGAGCUCCUUGGUCUUCAUGGUGCCACUUGCUUGGUGUUGACCCUUGUUUAGUGGUGUUGCAGACUCUGGGGCCUUUCAGGACAGGUGUAUAUCAACUGAGAUCAUGUGACACUUAGGUUGCCCACAUGUGGACCUUAUUUAACUAAUUAUGUGACUUCUGAAGAUAACUGGUUGCACUAUAUCUUAUUUAGGGGCUUCAUAGCAAACAUAUGCACGCACCACUUUUCUGUUUUCAUUUAUUUAUUUAUUUUCACUUCACCAAUUUGGACUAUUUUGUAUGUCCAUUGCAUGAAAUCCAAUUAAAAAUCUAUUUAAAUUACAGGUGGUAAUGCAACAUAAUAGGAAAAAUGCAAAGGGGGUGAAUACUUUUGCAAGGCACUGUAGAUGGUAUUUAUACAUUAUAAAAUCAUGUUUUCAGUCACAUGACAAAUGUAUUAUAUGCUGUAUUAUAGAUAUUUUCAUCUGACCUAGAUAGCUUGUGUGUAUGCAUUGAUAUGUAGUCUAUCUGUGCCUUUUUUAUGUAUGUAGUUCCGUCCUUGAGCUGUUCAUGUCUAUUAAUGUUCUGUAUUAUGUCAUGGUUCAUGUUUUGUGUGGACCCCAGGAAGAGUAGCUGCUGCUUUUGCAAUAGCUAGUGGGGAUGCUAAUAAAAUGCUAAAUAACAAAUCUAGAUGUGGUCAUUGCUAUUGAUAGUCUCUCUAUUAUCUUGAUAUAAUAGCUAUUACACAGCAUGUCCCUCUGAAAAUCAGUCUGACGAUUCCAUAAACUGAAUUGGAUAGAGUACAUGAGUAUUAUAGUCUUGGAUUCUUCUCCAUACAUCAUCUUCUCCUCCUAGGUGGAGCUGUGAUGCUGCUGGUGUAGUAUUGUAUUCAUCUCCAUACCUCAUCUCCUCCUCCUCCUACGUAGGUGGCGCUGUGAUGCUGCUGGUGUAUCAAUACGUAUCUGGAUGGUUAAAUAAGAACUGGUGACGAGGAGAAGCCCACCAACCUGCCUUAAGGUGCCCACCAGUCUGCCUGAUGAAGCCCACCAGUCUGCCUUAAGGUGCUCACCAGUCUGCCUGAUGAAGCCCACCAACCUGCCUUAAGGUGCCCACCAGUCUGCCUGAUGAAG